UAACACAUGCAAGUCGAGGGGCAGCAUUUUCCUUUGCUUGCAAACUGAAGAUGGCGACCGGCGCACGGGUGAGUAACACGUAUCCAACCUGCCGAUAACUCCGGGAUAGCCUUUCGAAAGAAAGAUUAAUACCGGAUAGUAUACGAAUAUCGCAUGAUAUUUUUAUUAAAGAAUUUCGGUUAUCGAUGGGGAUGCGUUCCAUUAGUUUGUUGGCGGGGUAACGGCCCACCAAGACUACGAUGGAUAGGGGUUCUGAGAGGAAGGUCCCCCACAUUGGAACUGAGACACGGUCCAAACUCCUACGGGAGGCAGCAGUGAGGAAUAUUGGUCAAUGGGCGCGAGCCUGAACCAGCCAAGUAGCGUGAAGGAUGAAGGCUCUAUGGGUCGUAAACUUCUUUUAUAUGGGAAUAAAGUUUUCCACGUGUGGAAUUUUGUAUGUACCAUAUGAAUAAGGAUCGGCUAACUCCGUGCCAGCAGCCGCGGUAAUACGGAGGAUCCGAGCGUUAUCCGGAUUUAUUGGGUUUAAAGGGAGCGUAGGUGGAUUGUUAAGUCAGUUGUGAAAGUUUGCGGCUCAACCGUAAAAUUGCAGUUGAAACUGGCAGUCUUGAGUACAGUAGAGGUGGGCGGAAUUCGUGGUGUAGCGGUGAAAUGCUUAGAUAUCACGAAGAACUCCGAUUGCGAAGGCAGCUCACUAGACUGUCACUGACACUGAUGCUCGAAAGUGUGGGUAUCAAACAGGAUUAGAUACCCUGGUAGUCCACACAGUAAACGAUGAAUACUCGCUGUUUGCGAUAUACAGUAAGCGGCCAAGCGAAAGCAUUAAGUAUUCCACCUGGGGAGUACGCCGGCAACGGUGAAACUCAAAGGAAUUGACGGGGGCCCGCACAAGCGGAGGAACAUGUGGUUUAAUUCGAUGAUACGCGAGGAACCUUACCCGGGCUUAAAUUGCAACAGAAUAUAUUGGAAACAGUAUAGCCGUAAGGCUGUUGUGAAGGUGCUGCAUGGUUGUCGUCAGCUCGUGCCGUGAGGUGUCGGCUUAAGUGCCAUAACGAGCGCAACCCUUAUCUUUAGUUACUAACAGGUUAUGCUGAGGACUCUAGAGAGACUGCCGUCGUAAGAUGUGAGGAAGGUGGGGAUGACGUCAAAUCAGCACGGCCCUUACGUCCGGGGCUACACACGUGUUACAAUGGGGGGUACAGAAGGCGGCUACCUGGUGACAGGAUGCUAAUCCCAAAAACCUCUCUCAGUUCGGAUCGAAGUCUGCAACCCGACUUCGUGAAGCUGGAUUCGCUAGUAAUCGCGCAUCAGCCAUGGCGCGGUGAAUACGUUCCCGGGCCUUGUACACACCGCCCGUCAAGCCAUGAAAGCCGGGGGUACCUGAAGUACGUAACCGCAAGGAGCGUCCUAGGGUAAAACUGGUAAUUGGGGCUAAA
rnacentral:rRNA from 1 species